rnacentral:rRNA from 1 species
UAGGAAUCUACCCUAAAGCGGGGGACAACCAGAGGAAACUCGGGCUAAUACCGCAUAAUUUCUGAGGAAAAAAGCUAGGCGUAAGUCUGGCACUUUAGGAGGAGCCUGCGUCUGAUUAGCUAGUUGGUGGGGUAAAAGCCUACCAAGGCGACGAUCAGUAGGUGGUCUGAGAGGAUGAUCAGCCACACUGGGACUGAGACACGGCCCAGACUCCGUACGGGAGGCAG